UUACAUCACACAAAUCAUUUUCUCUCGCUCUCCGGCCCUCCAGUAUAAAUUCCACUACUCCGUCCCCAAAUCCCAAACUUGACACACACGCAGAGAGAGAGAGAGAGAGAGAGAGAGAGAGAGAGAUGGGUUUGGACAGCGUAGGAGCUCUUGCGAUCCACGAGAUUCUAUCAAAACUGGGUCCCGCCGACACGGCCGCGGCCGGCUGCUUAAACAAGAGGUUCCGUGAUUGGGCCGCCGACGAGUCCCUCUGGUCCAAAUUCUGUUCCGAUGAGCUUGACCUUUCUUCCCCUCAGGACCCUCUUGGAAAUCCCACACCCACUUUCAAGGUCACUUAUCAAGUAUGGCGGGAAGCUUUUGGUAUGUAUCCUUGGCCCUUAGUUAGACGAGUCAAAAGAUGUUGGGGCAGACUUAAAAGCUGGUUGUCAGCUAAUUUUCCGGAGGCCUUGGCUACGCUUCGCAAGGGUGCAUCUGAGGAUGAAAUAAAAAGUUUGGAAAAGAGUUUGAAAGUAAAGCUGCCUCUUCCCACUAGGCUUCUCUAUCGGUUUUGCAAUGGUCAAGACCUGAAGAGGGAGAAAGUUAGUGGUCACCUGCUGGGAAGUCCAUUGGGCCUUAUAGGUGGCUACUCCUUUUAUAACCACCUUGUGAAUGUGUACUUGUUACCUCUUCAUCUGGUAAUCCGCGAAACAAAGAGAAUCGUACACCAGCUUGGAUUUAGUAGGAAGUAUAUUAUUGUUGCGUCUUCCACUUACGGACAAAAGAUUUUCUUCUUCAACUGUGACGAUGGUCAACUUUAUGUGGGUACCCGGAAUCUGGCAAACGAUGGCGAAAUGAUUCCGUGUGUACCAAAGGAACUGAUUAGGUUGGUGCCGGAUUUCGGAGGUAGUCAGCAACAGGAUGCCAUGCUGUUAUGGCUGGAAGAACAUGGUCACCGCUUGCACAGUGGCGUAAUUAGACUACGUGAGAAAGGAGAAAUCAGAGGCAUCAGUCUGUUCCCUGAGAAAGCUCCCCACUGUUCCAUUGCCAUAACAAAUGGUGUUAAGGUCCGUGCUUCAGCUGUGCUUGUCCCGGAAUUCAGCAACCUUCAAGAUGAAUCUGAGAAGUUUUACUUUUCUUAUUCGAUGCGUAUGUCCCUUUUGCCCGAAGGAUGCUGUAUUUAUGGAAUGUCCUUUGCUUCUUGCCAACUGUAUCGGAGACACUUGAUCUUCCGUGAUAAUGAUAUUGUCGUGAAUGAUGUAAAUGGAGAAGCCGUUAUAGGAAAGUUUCCGCUCUUGCAUCCUGGCGAGGAAGAGUUUGUAUAUGAGAGUUGCACACCGUUAUCUUCUUCAGGCUCUGUGGAGGGUUGUUUCACAUUUGUCCCUGGCAGAUCGGCAGAUCCCAAAGGCGACCCUUUUGAUGUUGAGCUGGCCCGUUUCCCACUUCAAUUACCAGACUACAUUUUCUAAUGCAACUCUUGUGCAUGGUUGAUCUAGUUAAAAUCCGGUUGAUCUAGUUAAAAUCCGAUUGAUUGAAUCAAUCAUUUGUCAUCCGGUGGUAUCUCCUAGCACAGUUGCCGCUGGUGGAAGUGAGGCAUGAUCACCGAGAGGCGAACAAAUGUGCGUUGACACUUUUGCGAGGGAAGCUGUUACCGAGCCGCUGGGUUUUAAUUUAUUUUCUGUUGCACCUCAUGUUUUGUUAUUUCAAUUGCACGAAGACUCAUUAGAGGUUCAAUACUCCAGACUUGUUUUGUACUGUUAUGUUUCGCCUUUACUACCAAAAAAAAAGAA